rnacentral:rRNA from 1 species
AGCGAACGCUGGCGGCAGGCCUAACACAUGCAAGUCGAACGGACCCUUCGGGGUUAGUGGCGGACGGGUGAGUAACACGUGGGAACGUGCCUUUAGGUUCGGAAUAGCUCCUGGAAACGGGUGGUAAUGCCGAAUGUGCCCUUCGGGGGAAAGAUUUAUCGCCUUUAGAGCGGCCCGCGUCUGAUUAGCUAGUUGGUGAGGUAAUGGCUCACCAAGGCGACGAUCAGUAGCUGGUCUGAGAGGAUGAUCAGCCACACUGGGACUGAGACACGGCCCAGACUCCUACGGGAGGCAGCAGUGGGGAAUCUUGCGCAAUGGGCGAAAGCCUGACGCAGCCAUGCCGCGUGGAUGAUGAAGGUCUUAGGAUUGUAAAAUCCUUUCACCGGUGAAGAUAAUGACUGUAGCCGGAGAAGAAGCCCCGGCUAACUUCGUGCCAGCAGCCGCCGUAAAAC